rnacentral:lncRNA from 10 species
AAAUGAUCCACCCACCUCGGCCUCCCAAAGUGCUGCGAUUACAGGUAUGAGCCACCAUGUGCAGCCCAUAAUAAAAAGUUUAAAAGAAAGGGUUUGUUGACAUGAUUCCCAGAGUUGUCCCUUGACUCCCAAAGGGGUUCAGAAAAUAUGGGAGCUGGAAGGAUUGAGCUGACCACUUAGGUUUAUGAGUGUGAAUACACAAAAUAGAUGUUUGGGUCAGGCCUCAGGAAUAAGAUACUGAGACUGAUUAUGUUCAGUGAGAAAGAUGUUUCCUUGGGAGCAUUACAUCAGGUCAGAGCAGUAUCAGGGAAAGUUUGAGAGCACUGGAGAGCUGUAGGGAGCUGAGGUGUCAGCCUCCACCUCAACUGAGAAAUAGGAGAGGUGUGGCGUAAGUAGACGCAUUAUCCGCCUAUUGGCUAAAAACAAAUGUAGUAUCUGUUCCUAUCAGUUAAAGCAUCAAAUGUGGUCUCUAAGUUCAGGGAAUUAAAUUAAUAUUUGGAAUUGGGAGAUGGUUUGGGAGCUUGCUCUAUCCUCUCCAUGCCUCAGCAUGUAAUUGCAAUGCUUUCAGGAGUGGUGCAUUCCUUUUGAGUUAAUGACAGAUUGUUUUCUUUUGUUCCCCUAGUGUUCUACAAAGUGCUCUAAUUCACUGUUAAUGAGGCUCCAGACUGCAUUUCCACCAUUUGUGCUGCAAAAAAUAGAGUUUCCCAUAAGUGAAGUUGACAAAGCAGUGGGCUUGAGCUAUCUUGCCAGUACCACAUCCAAGAGAGUGUUGGACAAGAAGAUCACUUGAGUGAGGGGCAGCCUGGGGUGAGGGGGAGAACAGGCUGAGCUAGAAAUCCCACGUCAAGGGACUGUGUGCCGGGACAUGUGUCCCCAGGGAGCAACAACAUGGGCAGCUACAGAGGGGGAAGAAGUUCUCUUGGAGUUACAGAGGCAGCAGCAACCUCGGUGACAGCACCCAGUGCCCACCCCCUCCAUCCCUUAUCUAGAGGAGUCAAGUAAAAUGACCGUGCCUCUCAUUCUGUCUUCCAAACCUAGGGUGGUCCUCUCUGAGAAAGGAGGAGAAGAUGGGUAUGCAAGAGCAGAUAUAGCUCCCAUCCUUGCCCUUGCUGGACUGGCAGGUACUGGGACAGUGGGGCAGGAGAACAGAGAACUUGAAAUUCCCUGCUUUUGACAUUUUGUUUUUGUGAUUGAAUUUCAAAAUGAAUGGGAUGCCAUGUGUGGUGGCUCACGCCUGUAAUCCUAGCACUUUGGGAGGCCAAGGUGGGUGGAAGACCUCAGCUCAGGGGUUUGAGACCAGCCUGGGCAACAUGGUGAAACCCUGUCACUAUUAAAAUACAAAAAAUUAGCUAGGUGUUGUGGUGCAUGCCUGUAAUCCCAGCUACUCGGGAGGCUGAGGCAUGAGAAUUGCUUGAACAGGGAGGCAGAGGUUACAGUGAGUCGAGAUAGUGCCACUGCACACCAGCCUGGGGGAUAGAGUAAGACUGUCUCAAAAAAAAAAAAUAAUAAUGAAACAGAGCAUUUAGAAAUGGGACUGGGAAGUUAUGGAAUUGAAUGGAGACAUCAUUAAGACAUCAAGAGAGCCUAAUGCCCAGAGUAAAGCAGGGAUUCCACAAGAAUAAGCUGAGAGCAGUCAAAUAGUUUCAUGCUUACACCCCAAUGAGUUGUUGCUCCUCAAUGAUUAUAGGGUUUCUUCACUUCCCCUAUCAAUACAACAAAAAACAAAAACAAAACCUUUGGUUAAGAUCCACUUCAAAGUAGACAAAGCCUUUCUUUGGCAAUUGCCCUCUGAAUCUUUCUUCCCUUCUGCCUUCUCUCCCUCAUCCUGCAAUAAAUCCAUGCCCUCCUGCUACCCUCCUUGCAAUUAACAAGAGCCAAACUUAUGUACCAUCAAGGACACUAAAAAUAAGUAUCUAUAUUUUCUUCUAAUAUUUUGCCUACUGUGACCUACUUUCAGUUAAAUUUCAAAAGCAAACGAGUGAGAUGUGUCCUAAAUAAACAUGCCUAUGAACUCUG